ACUCUCUCCCUGCUCUUGCCACUCACUCCCCACGUUUUCAGAAACACUAUAUUCCAUCUGACUCUAAAUGGCGCUUGAAGCGGGAUGUACAAUGUCGAAUUUGGAUGCGUUAUGUUGACGAUGACGAUUGCUUAAUGAUGGAUAACAACAGCGCCGAUAUCUCUGACAAACUGAAUACAACUUUAGGGAUUGACUUAAGUGCUGAAGAUGUCCAGAACCAACCCGAGUUUUGCCAGCUGCUUUCUGUGCUGACCAAUCACAUCAGUAAUGAAGGAGUAUCAACUCUAGUGCAAAAAGAUCUCCUACAGGCAGAAGAAGAAUUAAAACAUGAGAAACACAGUUGGCUGUUACAGAAGAUUCUCUACCACGAACUUGAAGAGCUUUUGCGAGAUUAUGAUAUAAAGUCUCAAGACACUGCACUCUCGACAGAAGAUAGACAGUUCCACACCAUCCUACAGGAGACACUGACUCGGGCAGAGAUCUCCGACUACCUGGACUGCUCUCCUGAUCCCACGUCUACAGACACUCUGUUAGGUCUGAGUAAAACAGAACUGUCCCAGCAGAACCCCCACAGAAAGCAUCUACCAUUUAUACAACAAAAGCUGAUCCCGGACAUAGAGAAGAGGCUGAGAGAGAAGUGUGACAGCCUCAUCAACUUUCAUCAGACUGGUUUAGAAGAGGAUGAUGUAGAGCCGGCCUUCAAUCCUACAACACAGUUACCUGCCCUUGUGGAAUCUGAUAAACACCAGCUGCAAAAGACGAAGGCUCAAUUGAAAACUGUGAAACAUAAUAAAGACAAACAGUUCUGGCAGUACUACAAGACGCUGAUAGACUCCUUGGGAGUGCUGGAGGAGGUGGUCGCCAAACAUAGAUUCCAGAACCAGACUGAACAGAACACUGUCACCACAGAAUGGCUGGUGGGCAGGUGUGACGGGCUCUGUUUAAAGAUCAGGUAUACGGCCACCAACAGAACACUGUCACCACAGAAUGGCUGGUGGGCCGGGGUGACGGGCUCUGUCUAAAGAUCAGAUUGCUGGAGAUGCAGGUCUUGUGUGACACGUACACCAAAGAUACAGUGAAGGCCUUACAUUCUGUCAGAGAUCACUUAGACAGCAA
rnacentral:misc_RNA from 1 species